UCCGUAAUGAAUAGCCUACUGAGAUGGCACAUUCAAACGGGACUAAAAUCACUGAGAAGCUCUGAGAGUGUGCAGGAAUCUCACCAACAGCUAUGUGGAUGUGGCUGCUUAUGGAGGGCAAAAUGGUCUUGUUGAGAGCUUGUGUGCCAGUACCGGAGGUGAAACGAAAGGCCUGCCAAGACGAUUUCAGCAGCGCACACAGUCAUGGCCUUUGAAGACAUAUCUUUUAGCCUUUAGGAUGGAGUUAGGGUGAGUGACGUCAUUAUGGCGAGGACUUACACCUGUAUUGGAGCUGAUGCCGGCAAAUUUAAGCAGUUCCCUUCAGUUGUGAUGGCGCACGCUCUCCCCUCCUUGUGUCGUUUUGGUUCUUUUUUCAGUUGUUUUUUUUUUUUAUUUAUUUUUUUUUAUUACUAAAUGUUAUUCCUUUUUUGAUCAUGAUCCAACGUGUUGUCUCCUUCUUUGUCAUGGCUUGCGAUUCGGCCGUGACAAAUGGGGGCUCGUCCGGGAUCUGAACCCGGGAUCUCUCGGCCGUGACAGUGUGUAUGUGUUCAAAAAUUUUUGCUUUAUAAUAACAAAAGUUUUAAAUAAAUUAAUUGUUUUAUUCA